GAUGAAGAACGUAGCGAAAUGCGAUAAGUAGUGUGAAUUGCAGAAUUCAGUGAAUCAUCGAAUCUUUGAACGCACAUUGCGCCCUUUGGUAUUCCUUAGGUCAUGCCUGUUCGAGCGUCAUUUAAACCUUCAAGCUCAGCUUGGUGUUGGGUGACUGUCCGCUUCACCGCGGACUCGCCUCAAAAUUAUUGGCGGCCGGUACAUUGGCUUCGAGCGCAGCAGAAACGCGAACUCGGGCCCGUCGUAUUGGCUCCCAGAAGCUAUCUUCACAAUUUUGACCUCGGAUCAGGUAGGGAUACCCGCUGAACUUAAGCAUAUCAAUAAGCGGAGGA
rnacentral:misc_RNA from 1 species